AUUUCCCCAAUGGGUUCUCCGGAUUUCUGGAGACUUGUAGGGGUUGUGGGAUUUUUGAUGUGUCGUCUCCGGACGGGCGGUGCAGGGUAGUCGAGUUAGACUUGGUGGAAUUCCGUCGAUAGGAGUUCCGUCGAGUCUGGUCGGCUGUGUGUUGGACGGUGCAGGGUAGGCUGCUUGGACAUGGUCGGUUCGAGGAUCGAUUCGAGGGCCGGCCUGUCGAUGAUGUGUGAUGUAUGCGGUCUAGGGUAGGCUGGUUUGUCUUGGUUCAAUUUGAUGUCGGUUCCCGUGCAGGCCAGAGUGAGUGGGGUCCAGGGUAGGUACAGGGUAGGCAGCUUAGAUUUGGUCGAUCUGGAGGUCGAUUCUCCGGCUGGCGGAUCUGACACUGUUGAAACGAGAUGCGAGCGGUGUAGGGUAGGCUAGUUUCGUCCUCGCCAGGUUGCGAUUUGGACGAGAUAUGUGGUUUAGGGUAGGCUCUAGGGUAAGUAGAAUUCGAGUUUCGUCGCCGACAGUUUUCUGUGAGUGUAUGGUAGGUACAGGGUAGGCAAAUCUCUCUCCGGCCAGUACUUGUCUGGUGGUCGUGAGUCGAUUUUUUUGUUUU
rnacentral:misc_RNA from 1 species